rnacentral:rRNA from 1 species
UACGGAGGGUGCGAGCGUUGUCCGGAAUCACUGGGCGUAAAGGGCGCGUAGGCGGCCUGAUAAGUAGGGGGUGAAAUCCUGCGGCUUAACCGCAGGGCUGCCUUCUAAACUGUCAGGCUCGAGCACAGUAGAGGCAGGUGGAAUUCCCGGUGUAGCGGUGGAAUGCGUAGAGAUCGGGAAGAACAUCGAGGUGGACGAACGGCGGCCUGGCUGGGCUGUUGCGUGACGCUGAGGCGCGAGCAGCGGUGGG